rnacentral:rRNA from 1 species
GACGAACGCUGGCGGCGUGCCUAACACAUGCAAGUCGAGCGAGUGGAGUUCUUCGGAACAAAGCUAGCGGCGGACGGGUGAGUAACACGUGGGCAACCUGCCUCAUAGAGGGGAAUAGCCUCCCGAAAGGGAGAUUAAUACCGCAUAAGAUUGUAGCUUCGCAUGAAGUAGCAAUUAAAGGAGCAAUCCGCUAUGAGAUGGGCCCGCGGCGCAUUAGCUAGUUGGGGAGGUAACGGCUCACCAAGGCGACGAUGCGUAGCCGACCUGAGAGGGUGAUCGGCCACAUUGGGACUGAGACCCGGCCCAGACUCCUACGGGAGGCAGCAGUGGGGAAUAUUGCACAAUGGGGGAAACCCUGAUGCAGCAACGCCGCGUGAGUGAUGACGGCCUUCGGGUUGUAAAGCUCUGUCUUCAGGGACGAUAAUGACGGUACCUGAGGAGGAAGCCACGGCUAACUACGUGCCAGCAGCCGCAGUAACAC